rnacentral:rRNA from 1 species
GGAGGGUGCGAGCGUUAAUCGGAAUUACUGGGCGUAAAGCGCAUGCAGGUGGUUUGUUAAGUCAGAUGUGAAAGCCCGGGGCUCAACCUCGGAAUUGCAUUUGAAACUGGCAGGCUAGAGUACUGUAGAGGGGGGUAGAAUUUCAGGUGUAGCGGUGAAAUGCGUAGAGAUCUGAAGGAAUACCGGUGGCGAAGGCGGCCCCCUGGACAGAUACUGACACUCAGAUGCGAAAGCGUGGGGAGCAAACAGGAUUAGAUACCCUGGUAGUCCACGCCGUAAACGAUGUCUACUUGGAGGUUGUGGCCUUGAGCCGUGGCUUUCGGAGCUAACGCGUUAAGUAGACCGCCUGGGGAGUACGGUCGCAAG